rnacentral:tRNA from 2 species
GCCUAGAUAGCUUAAUAGGAAGAGCAAAGGUCUGAAGAACCUUGUGAGGCAGUUCGAAUCUGCCUCUAGGCA